rnacentral:lncRNA from 1 species
ACACUCAGACUCCUCGGCGCUCUUGGCGCCCCCGCUCUCCACCCGCCGCAGGUGAAGGCCCCCGCCGCGGCCGCCGCGCUGAGAAGGCAGCGAGCCACUGCCGCCGCCUCCGACGCUCCCGCUGCAGCUGCCGCCGCCCCGCGCCGGAGAGCCGCUGUCGGAACCCGAAGCCCCGGAUUCCUCGUCCUCCGUGUCCUGGGAAGCGCGCUGCCGCCGCCGGUCCGCCAUCUUACGGAGAACGGCCACCGCUGGUCAGCUCCUUACGCACCACGCCCGCCGCGGAGGCUGCCGGGAAGCUCGAGACUCCGGAGUCCCAGCGUGCUUCACGUCCAGGGAGGGCCGCCCUUCUUUCCGCGGGGCGGGGCCUGCACCCUGCGGCACGUUUUCUGGAGAGCGAGAUGACGUCUGUCGGUGAUGUAAGGAGGCGUGGCCUAGCGCUUUAUUUCCCCACACCCCCACACCCCUAGCCCCGGCGGGCGGAGGGCGCCUGGGAGCGGGGCUAUUGCAUCCUCUUCGGGUUCUUAGCUCGGCCAUCUUGGACUUUCCUUGGGGAGGGUUUCGAGCUCUUCUAGCUCCAGUGCGACGUUGGAGCAAUUGCAUGAUUUUCGUUUUCCAUUGCUCGCUUUCCCCUGAAUUCUAUACAGAACAUUUUACUGUAUUCCUUCGCAUGGUUAAAAAUCACGAGUCCAGGUGAAAAAGCCUUUAGUCCUGCGUCAGUUGCCAGCUCUUCACCUCAGUCUAAAUUUAGGGGAAAGGAGAAACUGCAGUGGGGACAGAACUUAGUAUUGCGGUGUUUCCUGGGUGUAUUCAAAAUCUCCUUUCUCCAUGUGUCUUCCUAACCUAGUUAUCUCAUUUUGAGAACUGAAGGUUGGAAGGACACUAGUCUUACUAUGCUUUUAAAACAUCAGAGCUGGAUCACCCUUGACUAGUUAAGAGGCUAGUUUUGGACCCUCUCUGCCCCUUCAAUGUCUCGAGGUAUUAGUUUCAAAUCCUGGUGCAUUGUUACUCUACAGAGAAUGCUUUGGGUAUGCAUUUAUCAGCAGUGAAAGAAAACUCAGCACAACUACCUUGCAGCAACAUAUAGUUUGUAAGCUAAUUUAUUACUGCAUAUUGUUAAUAUACAUCAAAUAGAUGAGUUAAGAGGACUCUGAGCUGUUUUCAUAAAUAGCUAAAGGUCCCCACUGCUUACCAGAUCUAUAAACAGUAUGAGACUCCAAGGAAUCAUGACUGUCUGCAGGGACUGAUUCAACUGGUGACAGGUGGCCAAAUGUAUCAUGGAGUUCAGCUCCAGAAACAACUGCCUGAACUCAAAAUGGAGGAUGCAUGAUUUAAUAAGUGUGAAAGGCAUAAGAAUCUUAUCCAUCACAAUCUAAAAUGGUGCAGCAAGACUGCCAAGUUGAGUGUCUAAAUAAGGACAAGGAUAGCAUGCCACUUUGUCCUUUAGUUGUUUGGUCGGAAUCCAGCUUGGGAUGUUUUUUUUCUUUUUUCUUUUUUUUUUUUUUUUUUAAGAAAAUCUAUGACCUCAAGCUAGCCUUUUCAUCACUCGGGACCCACCAGCUUCAGCCUCCCCAGAUGCAGGCUAUGAGGGGACAAUACCUGUAAUCCUGCUCUGGAUCCUACUUUCUUUUGUUUUUUGAGACAGGGUCUCAUGGAAGCUAGGCUGAUCUUGAACCUGGGGCUCUCCUGGCUGUGUGGGUGCUUGGGAUAGCAGUCCUCCUGAGAAACAGUUGUGAGAAACGGUCAAUGUUUAGCAUGAAUAGACAGAUGGUCUGGGGUCCCACAUGAGUCUUAUUAGAGAAGUAAGGAGCUAAGAGAUUGAUCUUUCUAUAUCAUUGUAGUCACAAAACAAGAGCCAGUGCUUUCAAGUUACAAUGAGGGUUUUCAAGCAUACAGAAGAUGUGUGUAGGAAGACACUGUGGUCAAGCGGAUCUGGACUUCAUUUAUCUGGACUGAUAUCCAGGGAAAAUCAUGUAUCAAACACUGAGUAGGUGACCUAUAAAGUCUUGCCUACAAGCUUUGUAAUUUGCCAUUUAUGUGUAAGGAAGGGCUCAGGACAAAGGAACAUACAGACACACGCUAGAGUCUGACACAAUGGAUGAGCCCCUGAUUAGAAGGGCGGUGAUGUAUUUCUCUAUUUCACUUGGGUUAAUAUGAAGAUUCUUUCCCAUUCUUUCAUAUAUACAAGCAGAUAUAAUGUUUCCCAACAAAUCUAAUAAAAUGAGGCAAAAGUUCAAAAGU